UGUCCACACUCCCCAACAGGGCUUCUGACGGAGGGCAGCUGCAAUGCCCACGCCCGCUGCCCUGGGCAGGCCGCUCCCCUGCCCGCAGCGGCCCUUCCCCAGCAGAAACCGGGCUCAGGCUGCACUGAGCUGAGCCUGCGGCAACGACCAGAGGACAGGGUUGGGCUUCCUGGCCCAGGGCUGUGCCUCAGGGGUCGUCAGACACUGCAUGGCUGGUGAUGAGUAUUUCCCGUGUCAGAACUGAGAAAAUGCCGGAAGAUGAAAUGUUGGUUGCAGUUUCCAAGAGCAAAUGAAUUCUAACCAACUACAAAAGACGCUAUUUAAUCCCGAUUUUGAGUGCUUAAAAUAGGGAGACUCCUAAAGAGGCUAAGGGCGGGGGUUGGGGGGGGGGGAGCUUCCCCAAAAUAUUUCAUCUGCGAAACGAAGAUGAGAAAGACCCAAGCGGUGUUGGGUCUAUACCUAAGAAAUAGCAAGUAUGAAAACUCAAGCAGGAAGGUGUAUUGUAAUUGUGGGACUCCAAUCUGCGGACCGUGGUAGCCGAUUGUCCUUUACUGUGAUAAGCACGAUGUAGGAGCGUCCCUAACUUGAUCUAAACAGACGUCUGAAGCCCUAAAGAAACCUGGCAGCAUCUGUGGUCAGUCUCUCAUUGCUUCCGAAGUAAAAUGUAAACAGCUGAUUUCCGUGGAAUGUUUCCUAUCAAACCAAGGUCCCAUACGCAGCUCUACCUCCUCCUCUCAUGAAGCUUUCGCUGUGCUCUCUACUCCAUCUCCUUUUGGACCCCUAUGUUAUUAAUUUCUACUUACAAGCUGUUUAAAGCGUUGAGCAUUAUGAAGAAGCUUUGUUUUUAUUUAGCACAUGGAUUCAAGGUAUCCUGAUUAUCUUCAUAAAUGUAGAAUGUGUUUGUUCUUUAACCACUUCCUGCUAGCAAAAUGGAGUAAUACUAUGGUAAUAAACAUUUGCAAUUUAAGUAAA